rnacentral:rRNA from 1 species
UGAAGACCUUACCGGAUUAGCUGAGAGGUGGGUGCAUGGCCGUCGUCAGUUCGUACUGUGAAGCAUCCUGUUAAGUCAGGCAACGAGCGAGACCCACGUCCACAGUUGCCAGCAUACCCUCCGGGGUGAUGGGUACACUGGUGGAGACCGCCGCUGCUAAAGCGGAGGAAGGAAUGGGCAACGGUAGGUCAGUAUGCCCCGAAUCUCCCGGGCUACACGCGGGCUACAAUGGUUGGUACAAUGGGCAUCUACCCCGAAAGGGGAAGGAAAUCUCUUAAAGCCAAUCGUAGUUCGGAUUGAGGGCUGCAACUCGCCCUCAUGAAGCUGGAAUCCGUAGUAAUCGCGUUUCAACAGAACGCGGUGAAUACGUCCCUGCUCCUU